rnacentral:rRNA from 1 species
GAUGAACGCUAGCUACAGGCUUAACACAUGCAAGUCGAGGGGUAACGAGAGGAAAGCUUGCUUUCCUUGUCGACGACCGGCGCACGGGUGAGUAACGCGUAUCCAACCUGCCCCCAACUAGGGAAUAACCAUGCGAAAGUAAGACUAAUACCCUAUAAUUUCCUCAGAUGUCAUCUGACGAGGAAUAAAGAUUUAUCGGUUGUGGAUGGGGAUGCGUCUGAUUAGCUUGUUGGCGGGGUAACGGCCCACCAAGGCAACGAUCAGUAGGGGUUCUGCGAGGAAGGUCCCCCACAUUGGAACUGAGACACGGUCCAAACUCCUACGGGAGGCAGCAGUGAGGAAUAUUGGUCAAUGGGCGGAAGCCUGAACCAGCCAAGUAGCGUGCAGGAUGACGGCCCUAUGGGUUGUAAACUGCUUUUAUACAGGAAUAAAGUUAGCCACGUGUGGUUAUUUGUAGGUACUGUAUGAAUAAGGACCGGCUAAUUCCGUGCCAGCCGCCGCAGUAA